UGUUAUUAUAUAGAUAUAUAUGUAUAUAUAUAAUUUAUUUGUAAAUAACUUUGGUUGGGGUGAUCAAGGAAUAAAAUUAAUUUAAAGUAUUGUAUUAACUUCCUUAAUUUUGAGUUUAGUUGAAGAAUAAACCAAGUUUUUUGCUUAGAAGAUAAGUUA
rnacentral:rRNA from 1 species